UGUGACAUCGCCGUCUACACAGAGUGCAGAAAUCAAGAAUGUGCAUUGGAUGACUUUUCACAGAGUAAACCCAGAUGUGAAAGAAAGCACACAAACCAGAGACAGAAUAUCAACGGCAGCAACCUUGGCCACCUUCUGAUCCCAAAGGCCACCAAAGGAAAUUGAUAACCUGACUACAAACACCAUAGAUCCAACUUUGACAUUGAUCUUGAAGCUGGCCUUCCAACCCCAUGGAACCCCACCCCUUCCCACGUCAGCGGAGUAGUGAGAAGGUGAUCUCCACGAGGACAGGAAAACAGUCUCUCCUCUGCCCUUAGUAUGGAGGACAGUGCCUGCACAAGGUAGAAAAGUCGGACUCACGAGGGGAGCAGGUGGCCUGGAAUUUGCAGGGAACCAGAGUGAGUAAGCACAGUGGAGAAGAGGCACAGAAUAUUCUAUACCAGAUAUAUAUUACAGCCUAAGAGAACGUCUGUCUGCCAGAAGGCCAGUGUUUGGCAAGAGAUUCAGCCAACAGAGGGAUCUGUGGGAUGAAGGAAAAAGCAAACACAGUGAAGACGUGGAAGGAGGAAAGCAGGCAUCCACAGAGAUGGUGAGGUUUCGCUGCUAUGAACAGCCAUGUGCCGGAUUUUGUGCGGAUGUAAAUAUCAAAGAGUAUUGGGAUAAGUACCAAGGAGCGGGACUGCUGGGU